rnacentral:rRNA from 1 species
AUUGAACGCUGGCGGCAGGCCUAACACAUGCAAGUCGAGCGGAUGAAGGGAGCUUGCUCCUGGAUUCAGCGGCGGACGGGUGAGUAAUGCCUAGGAAUCUGCCUGGUAGUGGGGGAUAACGUCCGGAAACGGGCGCUAAUACCGCAUACGUCCUGAGGGAGAAAGUGGGGGAUCUUCGGACCUCACGCUAUCAGAUGAGCCUAGGUCGGAUUAGCUAGUUGGUAGGGUAAAGUCCUACCAAGGCGACGAUCCGUAACUGGUCUGAGAGGAUGAUCAGUCACACUGGAACUGAGACACGGUCCAGACUCCUACGGGAGGCAGCAGUGGGGAAUAUUGGACAAUGGGCGAAAGCCUGAUCCAGCCAAGCCGCGUGUGUGAUGAAGGUCUUCGGAUUGUAAAGCACUUUAAGUUGGGAGGAAGGGCAGUAGGUUAAUACAUUGCUGUUUUGACGUUACCAACAGAAUAAGCACCGGCUAACUUCGUG